rnacentral:rRNA from 1 species
GACGAACGCUGGCGGCGUGCCUAAUACAUGCAAGUAGAACGCUGAAGGAGGAGCUUGCUUCUCUGGAUGAGUUGCGAACGGGUGAGUAACGCGUAGGUAACCUGCCUGGUAGCGGGGGAUAACUAUUGGAAACGAUAGCUAAUACCGCAUAAUAGCAGUUGUUGCAUGACAACUGUUUGAAGGGUGCAAUUGCACCACUACCAGAUGGACCUGCGUUGUAUUAGCUAGUUGGUGGGGUAACGGCUCACCAAGGCGACGAUACAUAGCCGACCUGAGAGGGUGAUCGGCCACACUGGGACUGAGACACGGCCCAGACUCCUACGGGAGGCAGCAGUAGGGAAUCUUCGGCAAUAGACGGAAGUCUGACCGAGCAACGCCGCGUGAGUGAAGAAGGUUUUCGGAUCGUAAAGCUCUGUUGUAAGAGAAGAACGAGUGUGAGAGUGGAAAGUUCACACUGUGACGGUAUCUUACCAGAAAGGGACGGCUAACUACGUG